rnacentral:rRNA from 1 species
CCUACGGGAGGCAGCAGUGAGGAAUAUUGGUCAAUGGGCGAGAGCCUGAACCAGCCAAGUCGCGUGAAGGAUGACUGCCCUAUGGGUUGUAAACUUCUUUUAUAAAGGAAUAAAGUGAGGCACGUGUGCCUUUUUGUAUGUACUUUAUGAAUAAGGAUCGGCUAACUCCGUGCCAGCAGCCGCGGUAAUACGGAGGAUCCGAGCGUUAUCCGGAUUUAUUGGGUUUAAAGGGAGCGUAGGUGGUUUGUUAAGUCAGUUGUGAAAGGUUGCGGCUCAACCGUAAAAUUGCAGUUGAAACUGGCAGUCUUGAGUGCAGUAGAGGUAGGCGGAAUUCGUGGUGUAGCGGUGAAAUGCUUAGAUAUCACGAAGAACUCCGAUUGCGAAGGCAGCUCACUGGACUGUAACUGACACUGAGGCUCGAAAGUGUGGGUAUCAAACAGGAUUAGAUACCCGUGUAGUC